CAAAGGGUUCUGGGAGGCUUAAAUGAAUCUCUGUACGUAAAGUACGUAGACCAUUCUCCAGCACUCAGUGAGUGCUCGGUAACUAAUGGCUGUUAAGUCUGUUGUAACACAUGACUGGCAGACAUUAUGUAAAAAUACAGCAGCAUGGUUAAGUCCAAGGAAAGGAAACUAACUUUUAGCAGAUGACUGCUCUCUUUCAGGCGUUGGAACGGCUAUUUUCUCAGGAGGCCUCCUUUAGUCUUCACAGUAGCCCUAUGAGAUGUGAGUUCUGCAACAUUCUUUGUUCACCACGCGUUCCUAGUGCCUAGAGUAGUGUCUAGUUUAUGGUAAGUCCACCUUCCUCCUGUUCGUCCCUGUCUGAGGUGUUGUGGAAGUCCUCAGGAGCCCUCUGCGUGAGCUGGCAUACAGUCACCGAUGUAAUUCCUCAGGAAGUCACUGGAGGGCAGCAGUUCCCUCUCACCCCACCCCAGCCCUGGAGAGGAUGCUGCUAUCAGGCCAAGAACAUUUCUGAAGCGGCAAACUCUCAAAGUGCUGCAUGGCAACUGCACAGAAACAGGGGAAUAUCCCUCUCCAUGUUCUUGAUCACACUUUGUCACCAUGGAGUCCCACAUGGAAACUCAAGCACAGUCUGAAUCCAAGAUUAAUAACCGAGAAGAUGCAAAUUUUCUCCAAUUUUAAAAAAAAAUGUGUUGCUAAAUCCUUCAUUGAACGAGUAAGUGCUCAAGACGCAACGGGCCUCCUGCAGCUCUUCCUUCCUAUUGCCAGUGUGGGCUCCCAAUUAUAUGAAUGUAGGUCUAAGGACACUGGAGAAGAAAUUUUCAGCAUUGCACCAUUCAAGCAAAUGUUCAACGUCCAACCAAAUAGCUAAUUCUAUAUGGGACAAAAAUAGAUGGAAAUGUGUUAUUUGUGGUUCAGCUUGGUUUGCUUUUUUGACUUAGCAAAGAACUGCUUUCAUUUUUAUAUUCUGCUCUAUUCUCUACAGUGACUUUAAAACAUAGUAUAGAAACUUUAAAAAGAGUGUCUGUGAUUCCCAGUGGGCUAAAAUGGAUAUCUAAAAGAACGUAAAAGCAAAAUAUAAUGCAAUUCACUGUAGUACUGCUUUCAGUAUAAUUUGGGUCUUUUUCUAAAAGACACAUACUGUUUUUUCACUGAUUAUAAAAGUAAUAUAUGUCUACUGUGAAAAUUUAUAAAACGCAUGAAAUAGAAAUCAUCAUUAAUCCCAAAACCCAGAGAUAAUCACUGUUGACUUUUGGUAUAUUUUCUUUCAGUCUUCUUUUUAUAGAUAGGGCCAAUUUCAAGGGCACAGGACCUGUGCAGUCACACAGGACUCGUGUUCAGAAGGGCCCUACGCUUGGUUUAAAGCUACACUGUUGCUGUCUUGGAAUUAUUAAUAAUUUUUGAACAAGAGGUCCUGUAUUUUCAUUUUGCACUGGACCCUGCAAAUUAUGUAGCCAGUUCUGUUUACAGACGUUCAUGCCCACAAACAAACUGACUAUACAUAUACACGUUAUAUACAUAUACGUAUGUUAUAUAGAUACAUAAUAUAUUUAUAAUCUGUGUCAUUAAAAUUCUCAAAUUCUUUGUAAAUGAUAUUUUUACUACUUGCAUAAUAUUUCAUCCUAUGGAAACAUAACAACUUAUUUAAUUAUGUUCCUGUUUUUGAAACCUAGAUUGUUUAAAAGUAUGUACUGUUAUAAAUGAUGAUGAGGACUAUCUUUUUUAUAUUAUUUUUUAAAUUUCACUUCUAAUUAUUUCUUUAAAAUAACAUCCCAGAAGUAAAACUGAAGGGAUAAAGGGAUAUGAACAUUUUUGGACCUUUGUAUUUAAAUCGCCAAAUAGCUUCUUUCCCGAAUAAUUACUAUUACCAGCAGAGAGUAAGAAACUCCCUCUUUAUACUCUCAACAGCAAAGAAUAUUAUAAUUUUAAAACAUUUGGUAUUGAAUAAGUUAAAAUAUUAUCCAAUAGCCUUCAUUUCCAUUUCUUUGACUACUGGUAAAGGAAGAUUUCUAAAAAUAUAUUUCUAGUCAUUUUUGUUUCUUCCUGGAACUGCCCUAGAAUGUAAACUUCUCAACAUGGUUUUUAAGGUCCUUCAUGUCCUACCACUCUAGGUGUAUCUUCGACCACGCCUCUCCUCCUCACCAGCACUCCCCGAGUCUAAUCUCCAGCCAUACUGAAUUUUAUUCAAUUCCUGGAACUGGUCGUGCUUUCUCUUGCUUCUUGACCUUUAAACAUUCUACAUCCUAUUUCUGGACAUCUCUUCCUAUAUCUCUUUGUUUGGUUAACUUCUGUUCAUCCUUCAGUUCUCAGCUUAAAUGUUACUUCCCCUGAAAGCCUUUCUUGACCUCCAAAUUAGGUUGGAUGCCCUUGCCAGGGGCUCCCGAAUCUCCUCCUGCUCCUCCUCAUUCUUCCUUUUAGUAAACUUUUAACUUUGGAAUAAUUUUAGAUUUACAGAAGAGCUACGAAGAUAGUACAGAAUUCCCGUAUAUCCCUCACCCACCUUCCCCUGAUGUUAACAUCUUACAUAACUGUGGUACCUCUGUCGACUAAAACAUGAACACAGAUAUGACACUAUUAACUAAACUACACUUUAUUUGGAUUUCACUAGAUUUUCCACUAAUGUCCUUUUUCCAUUCCAGGAUCCAAUCUAGGAUAUCAUAUUGCAUUUAGUCAUCAUGUCUCCUUAGUCUCCUGUACUUCUUAUGUUAUAGUACUUGUUACAUUGUAUUCCAAUUGCCUCCCCUUCUAGAAUAUAAACUCUGUGAGAGCAGGCACUAUGUAUUUUUCACCAUUACAUCUCCAGUUCUUACAGUAUCCAUUGUAAGCAGGUGCUCUAUAUGACUGAAUAUAACACAAGAGUUUAAAAAAGAAUCUCUCAAAAAAGGAGAAACCACCUUUCAUUUAAGUUCUUACAAAAUCUUUUAUAUUGUGGUACAUUUUAUCAAUUAUUUUAUUUAGAACAAUAAAAUAAUAUUCAAGGGACACAUCAUAGCCUGAAAUGACCUCAUUGAAUGCUUGGAUGCUUGUAGAGAUCAUCUGUUGGAAUCAGUAAAAAUGGAGGCAAAGACAUUUAAAAACAUUUAGUUAUCUGCCUGUUAGGGGUUGUAAUCCCACAGUUGUGAGGGCUGGAUAUCCUUAUAAACAGUCUUUUAAAAGAAGAUGGGGGUGGGGGGGCCAGCUGGUGGCAAGUGGUUAAGUUUGC